rnacentral:rRNA from 1 species
UUUUUAUGUGGACCUCUGUCCUUGUGCCUCGUGUGCUUGGAUAGAACCACAUAAGCAGGUGAAACUUCUUAGAGGAACUGGCGCCCAAAAAGGCGCACGAGAAAGAGCAAUAACAGGUCUGUGAUGCCCUAAGAUGUCCGGGGCCGCACGCGUGCUACAAUGACGAUGCUACUGAGCAUGAUUAACUUGUCCGAAAGGACUGGUGAAACUGUUCAAUCAUCGUCGUGACUGGGAUUGGGGUUUGCAAUUGUCCCCCAUGAACCAGGAAUUCCUAGUAAGCACAAGUCAUAAGCUUGUGCUGAUUACGUCCCUGCCCUUUGUACACACCGCCCGUCGCUACUACCGAUUGAAUGGUUUAGCAAGGACAUUGGAUUGAGCCCUUGCGGUUUCGGCUGCUUGGGUUUGAGAAGAUGUCCGAACUUGAUCAUUUAGAGGAAGUAAAAGUCGUAACAAGGUUUCCGUAGGUGAACCUGCGGAAGGAUCAUUA